AACGAACGCUGGCGGCAUGCCUAACACAUGCAAGUCGAACGAACCCUUCGGGGUUAGUGGCGCACGGGUGCGUAACGCGUGGGAAUCUGCCCUUUGCUUCGGAAUAACUCAGGGAAACUUGUGCUAAUACCGGAUGAUGUCUUCGGACCAAAGAUUUAUCGGCAAGGGAUGAGCCCGCGUAGGAUUAGGUAGUUGGUGGGGUAAAGGCCUACCAAGCCGACGAUCCUUAGCUGGUCUGAGAGGAUGAUCAGCCACACUGGGACUGAGACACGGCCCAGACUCCUACGGGAGGCAGCAGUGGGGAAUAUUGGACAAUGGGCGCAAGCCUGACCCAGCAAUGCCGCGUGAGUGAUGAAGGCCCUCGGGUCGUAAAGCUCUUUUACCAGGGAUGAUAAUGACAGUACCUGGAGAAUAAGCUCCGGCUAACUCCGUG
rnacentral:rRNA from 1 species